rnacentral:rRNA from 1 species
AAAUUGAAGAGUUUGAUCAUGGCUCAGAUUGAACGCUGGCGGCAGGCCUAACACAUGCAAGUCGAGCGGAAACGAGUUAUCUGAACCUUCGGGGAACGAUAACGGCGUCGAGCGGCGGACGGGUGAGUAAUGCCUAGGAAAUUGCCCUGAUGUGGGGGAU